UACGGAAGGCAGCAGUGGGGAAUAUUGCACAAUGGGCGAAAGCCUGAUGCAGCUAUGCCGCGUGUAUGAAGAAGGCCUUAGGGUUGUAAAGUACUUUCAUCGGGGAGGAAAAAACAAAACUAAUAAUUUUAUUUCUUGACGUUACCCGAAAAAGAAGCACCGGCUAACUCCGUGCCAGCAGCCGCGGUAAUACGGAGGGUGCUAGCGUUAAUCAGAAUUACUGGGCGUAAAGAGCACGUAGGUGGUUUUUUAAGUCAGAUGUGAAAUCCCUGGGCUUAACCUGGAAACUGCAUUUUGAAAACUGAAAUACUAGAGUAUCGUAGAGGGAGGUAGAAUUCUAGGUGUAGCGGUGAAAUGCGUAGAUAUCUGGAGGAAUACCUGUGGCGAAAGCGGCCUCCUAAACGAGUACUGACACUGAGGUGCGAAAAGCGUGGGGAGCAAAACAGGGAUUAGAUACC
rnacentral:rRNA from 1 species